rnacentral:lncRNA from 1 species
ACUAAUUCUUGUACCAAGAAUGAUUCAUCUACAGUCAAGGUUCCACCCUGACCCGAUUAAGUAUGGCUAAGGGGAUGGAGUCAGCAUGAACACGCCAGCCGGGCCCACACUGGUAGAGGGGUAUUGUGGCCUCCAAGUGAGGCAGGCAGUGGGCUGAGCCCACCCAUCAGAGAUGGAUAAUAGACUGGAGCUACCACAGAGCAGGAAAAAAAGAUGGAAAAGGAGUGAAAAUAUCUAGGCUGAGGCCAUUUCCUUGUGAAGAGAGAGCCCCAACAAUUUUCAUUAACAGACGGAGGGCACCACCCAUCCAGGUGGGAGCAGAUGGAAACCGAGAGCCACUUCUGAAAGAAGACAAAAUUGAUCAUGCAAAUGGAUUUGAAUGUGAUCAGAGGAGAUACUUACGCUGGUGGAGGGAGCGGGGCAGAAUGUGGAGUGGAAUUAGUAAUAAGAACAUAGAAAACCAGUAUAGACAAAAGGGAUUACUUACUCAGAGGAAACGUAACAGUAUGUAGAAGUGGAAAAGCGAUUCUGUUUUACUAACUGGCUGACCGGUAAAUGUGAUUUACCUAGUCAUAAUAAAUACCAAAUGGUGAUGUAAGUUUCAGUGACACUCUCUUGGGAUUUCUGAGAGGGCAUGACAAGGGAGUGUGACGUGAAGGGUCGGGUUUGGCGUGGAGGGUGAGCAAGAGGUGAUAACGGGAGCUGAAUUCCCAUCUUCCCUAAUGGGAGGCCCAAAGAUUAUGCCUGAAACGGAAUAAUCGAGAUGUAGGAAUGUCAACAUGGAAAUCGGAAGAAUAAAAUAAUUUUUUUAAAAAGAAGAGCUAAGAAAGUUGAAAUUGGUUGCUUCCUGAGAGUAAGAAAUGGGUGGGAAGACUGGCAGAGGAAAGCUAGUUUCUCAUACACAUUAGAGAAUAAUUUGCCUCUAAAUGAUAUGUAUAUAACUUUAAGAAAAAUAAAACUGAACAAAAAGAGAAGUUUCUGAGAGAUGAUGUGUCAUACACAGCACUAUAGCUGACAAGCACUGGUAUCUACUGACAAGCACUGGUAUCUACUGAGUGCCUAGUGUGUGCU